CAAGGUCUUGGUCCUAAACCUACUAUUACCCCCACCCCUAUUUAUACAUGCAAGCCUCACCACGACAGUGAAACAGCCCACCACACCCGGUCGGAGCAGGUAUCAGGCAUUACGCCCACAACGCCAAGCAACCAAGCCACACCCCCACGGGCCCGCAGCAGUAGUUAAUAUUAGGCCAUAAGCGAAAGCUUGACCUAGUAAGGGGUCUUCAGGGCCGGUUAAUCUCGUGCCAGCGACCGCGGUUACACGACAGACCCAAGAUAAUACAAGCGGCGUAAAGCACGACUAAACACUUGUCCCCACUAUUAAGGAUGAAGACAGACUGGGCUGUAAAAAGCCAUAAGCCACACUAACCACACCCCUUAAUAACCGAACAGCUUCCAACUCGUGAAAGCAAGGAUACAAACUAAGAUUAGAUACCUUACUAUGCCUAGCCUUAACCUAACAAUCAAAUAACCUAUUGUUCGCCAAAUAACUACGAGUGAAAACUUAAAAUUUAAAAGACUUGACGGUACCUCACAUCAACCUAGAGGAGCCUGUCUAACAACCGAUACCCCACGAUUAACCCAACCCCCCCUAGCCCAACAGUCUAUAUACCGCCGUCGCCAGCUUACCUUGUGAAAGAAACAAAGUGAGCCCAACAGCCCCCACUAGCACGACAGGUCGAGGUGUAACUAAUGGGGGGGACAAGAUGGGCUACAUUUUCUAAUACAGAAAACACGAACAGACUAUGAAAUUAGAAACUGAAGGCGGAUUUAGCAGUAAGUUAAAAACAAAAUGUUUAACCGAAGCUAACGCAAUGAGGUGCGUACACACCGCCCGUCAUCCCUGUUAAACCCACAAAAAAAUCCAUAAACCACUACCACCAUUUUUAAAGCAGGGCAAGUCGUAACAUGGUAAGCGUACUGGAAAGUGCGCUUAGAAA
rnacentral:ncRNA from 1 species